rnacentral:rRNA from 1 species
AACGAACGCUGGCGGCAGGCCUAAUACAUGCAAGUCGAACGCUCCGCAAGGAGAGUGGCAGACGGGUGAGUAAUGCGUGGGAACCUUUCCAGUGGUACGGAAUAGCCCAGGGAAACUCGGGGUAAUACCGUAUAAGCCCUUACGGGGAAAGGUUUAUCGCCAUUGGAUGGGCCCGCGUCGGAUUAGCUAGUUGGUGGGGUAAUGGCCUACCAAGGCGACGAUCCGUAGCUGGUCUGAGAGAACGACCAGCCACACUGGGACUGAGACACGGCCCAGACUCCUACGGGAGGCAGCAGUGGGGAAUCUUGGACAAUGGAGGAAACUCUGAUCCAGCCAUGCCGCGUGAGUGAUGAA